UGUUAAGGGAGGAUCGGACACGCGUGUGCCAGGGAGGAUGCUGCCACCACGCUCUUCGAAGAUGUGCGGAGUCGUCGUGUCUGUACGGUUGACACCUCUACCACCGUCGCUGCCUUCGAGGAGGAUUCGUGCCUGCAUCUUAAUGUUCGCCAAGCCCAUUACAUCGCUGGUUCAGGACACACAACAAAACAAAUCUGAACCUCAGCGACAUAUUUGCUGGGAGAGAAGGAGGAUAAAAAGUGUUGGUCCUCUUCACAGGAUAGACCUUUUAUGUAUCAUGUAUCCAAGCAGGCUGCAUGUGAGGUGAAUCAAGGUAACUAUAUGAUGUAGUGAAGUAUAAACUCCUCUCCCUAUAAUAUGCAGCCUUCAAACCAUAGGUUUGUGAAUUUUAUGCCAGCUGGGCCUCUUUCAUUUUAAUGCUUGAGUCCUAUUAUUUCAUUUCUCCAAGCUUUUGAGUUCUAAUAUUGUUCUGUAUUAUGAGCUCUUGAACAUUUGCCUGCACAACAAUGAUCUAUAAUAAUUCCCUUCUAAGCCUAGAGAUAGUUGUACACAUCAUUUAUUCAAUCCUAAAUUACUCUAUGCUCUGAAUUACUCCCGUGGUGCAUUUUAUGUCCCCCUUACAUCUAUAUCUAUGUCUUCUUACUCAUAUACAUGCUUUCCCAUGUAAUCAUCCUUAACAAUUGUCAUGUUCAAUCUGUAACUACUUAUCAGGGUAUUUUCUGAUUUUUUUAUGUUGCCGCUUACUGAUCUUACGACAUGGAGAGGAGAGGCCAAGUAGCAGCAAGCAUGCAGCUGUGUCAUGCAAACAAACUGAUACUGCAAAAAGUCACUGAUUGUACAAAACCAGAAAAACAAAUUGCAGCGCAAGCAUGCAAAGAGACAAUUGCGCGAAUCAAACACAUAUUCAAAUAAUAAGGCAGUGAGAGGCUUUAUAUUAGGCGGUGUACUGCAACAAGGUGCCUCCCUCCAUCAUCAUUCCAUUCUUCUCAUGUUUCCUAUCUGUCAGCUGCACCUACAACCGGUGCCCCAAUCUAGCUCGACAAUUGACGGCGGCUACAUCUGUUGUGGCCGGCAGCGAGGCAAGUCCUCCUUUUAAACCAUGUAUGUUGAUUUCAAAUAGUAGAACUAAUUCAUACUUUGAAGUUAUUUGUUAAUCAGGCUUCCAUGGACGUUGAUUUCCAUUAAACAGUAUUUUGCGAACUUCUUGUUCUCUGCAAAUUUUGGAUGCCGCCGGUCAGUGUGACGCCCAAAUCCUGGUGGCAAGUCUUUUUCUAAUUGAGAGAAUUAUUUAGGUGCUAAUUCAAACAGCAUGUCUAUAGGAUCCCGGUCUGGAAAACUAGAUGGUGUAUGGAUUCAGAGAUGAACAUGACGAACGAUAGAAGGUCGAUUUGGAUUAUUCUUGGUCCAUAACUUUCAAUUAUUCCACUGCCACACAACUGUGCUUGUGCUGGCAGGGAGAGGAGGAGAAGUAAGGCGUUGUGGGCAUGGACUGGCUGUGGGUACAAGAAGGCCAGAUAUGAGAUGGUGGAAAGGAUGCACACAGGAGAAGAGAACAGGCUGCAACGGAAGGCAGUUUAAGAUGUAGUAGUGGACGCCUCUUCCAUGAUAUUCAGCAAUCUGCGUGUUCAGUGAUGCCGCACACGUCCUCUCAUCUCGUCACGAAUGGCCUGGAUGUGGCAGCUGCCGUCAACAUCCCAACCGUCACCAGCACGACGUGUUGAAUGACAUUGGCAUCGUCUCACUGGGGCAGCAGCUCAACACCGGCAUUAUUCUGGUAAUGCAAGUCCCGCUCCAUCUCCUCUGUUUGCAGUCAUUGUUCCAAUAUUACUGGAGAUAAAAUCCAUUCUAGCUAUCGUUGCUGAAGAUCGUUUGGUGGUGUUCGAUCCAGACUAAAAAAUUAUUUCAUGUUGUUUUCAGUAAUUAUGAUCAGCUCAGCCGUAAGAUGUAGAGAGAUCAAUCACAUCCAAUCUUCGAUUUAAUGUAAAUUAGGUGAUUUACUGAACCGCGGGUUGCCUGUUUCAUGAACAGUACUGCCAUUUUAAACAAUCUAGGACCUACACUUGAUGACGACAUUAUUAUUUAUACAGCUGUACUGGGCCAUUUGUUAGCAGCAGCCAAUUAUAUGCCAAUCUUUAUAAAGUUGAAAGACUAAAUUCCAGUGACAAAAAGCCUUGUCAUACUGGCAGUUAUUUUUCAAUGAAUGUCUGCAUAUCAUUCACUUGUCUUGAUGUCUGUCUAUAAUAAAGUUGGCAUGUACCUUUUGUUCAAAAUAAAGCAUGCUUGGUUUUUGGAGUUGCAUCCAUCAGCUAACCUUAGAGGAAUUCAUAUAUCCACCACGCCGGUGCUUGUUUUGCACAAUCUUAUACAUUAGGACUUUAUACUCCUUCACAAAAAACACCCUGGCAAAAUAUUUGUAUGCUACUUUGCCUCAUUUCAUAAGUGUAGUUUUGGUCACGUAUGUUGGAAAUAUAUGCUUGUUCUGUGGUGAUGAAUCAGAAUGGAAAAUCUGAAAGGAAGUGAUUAUUUGUUCAUGUGUUGAUAUAGUGAUUCUGUUUGAACUUGAAGGAUAAAUAUGAUGGAGCCUUUUUUUUUAUUAAAGCUUGUUUUCCGUUGGAAUUAUUGUUGUAAAUACUAUAUUUGCGGGUGUGCAGUUUGUGAUUCUCUAUUCAUGAUAUUUAGAUAGAUCGGAUUCGUUCCUUUAUAGCAUACACAGACUUGAAUUAUUUUGUCAUUGAUGAAUAUGCAUAAUGUACUUUAAUUUGUUGAGAUUUCAAAUGAGGUCGUAGGAAUCAAAAUGGAACUCUCAUGUGGCUGAUAUCGGUUUUAUAUUAUAUUUUUAGAUGAAAUUUCUAUAUUUACUUAUCUCAAGAUAUAUUUGAUUUCAUUUUUGUCUCUUGAGACAAGGAGCGAGCAAACUGUUGAUUUUGCAGAGAACAAUUGUCACUGAAUUGCUUUCAAGGCGGAUGUUCCAUAGACAAACAAGCAUGCAAUCAACACUGCAUGAUUUCAAUUGGUUUCCAAUCCUGGAAAGAAGGAACGAUAUGAGCUAAAAGAUGCAGAAAAAGAGGAUUAGGCCCGCAGAUUGUUAUCAAGGAGAACAUUGAGCUAUGAGGGUGUUUUUCGGGCAACACCGGCGAUGGUCUCAGCAGCUAUAUGAUGGUGAACUGUAGCUGUCGUAAUAUUUUGAGAAAUAUAUUAUGAUUAAUUUUUACUUACCUAUCCGAUUUUUUUCGUUGCGAUGAUCUGAUAGGCCCCAUAUAGGUGUCUGGAUUGUAAUAGGUAUUUUUCUGGGUUAAGAAGGAAGAA